rnacentral:misc_RNA from 1 species
CUCUCUCAAGGAGCAAUCUUUGGUGUUGAGCGACACUCUGCGGAGUCAGCUUGAAAGGGAUUGGCAGUGGGUCGGCGAGUUGACAUCUUUGUUAACUUCAAUGUAUUAGGGCAACCAUUCAUUGAGGGAAGACUAGACGGACCGGGCCGCGGCUUGACAACCUCUCAU